rnacentral:tRNA from 1 species
UGGCUCCUUGGUCAAGCGGUUAAGACACCGCCCUUUCACGGCGGUAACACGGGUUCGAGUCCCGUAGGUCCCGU